rnacentral:lncRNA from 1 species
UUUAUAACACAUUUAUAUGUCCGACUCUCUCACUCUCAGCUAGCCUUUUCACCAGGGCCACAACCACCAACCCAACACCUCCCACCACCACACCCACUAUUGAAACAACCUGUAACAACCAAACUAUUACCGUCCACCGCCAAUGAAACCCCACCAAAACCCGAACAACAUCUUCAACUUUGCGCCGCAUAUGGUUAGAUCUGAUUGGAUUUCAUGCCAGUUGUAGGCUUUGAAACGAGAAGGAUGGUCAGAUAUGAGAUAUCACAGUUCUUAUCCUGAUUGUAUAAAUCUAAUGCUUCACUGAGUUGAUGCCUAUCGGCUACGGAGAUAGCGUUUCAGCAACGUCAAUGGGUGUUGAUGUCUUCCGACGCGGUGACGGAGAUGAUGUUGUGAAGAAGAAUAACAGUGAUGGGUGGCGAUUAGCAUAGGGUAAGAUUAGGGAAGUUCAAGAGAGAUCCGGAUUCAAUAGCAAGAGAGGGAGAGAACUUGCAGGCUAUCUAGAGCCCUGAUACUAAAUUAAUCGUUGUUAUUGUAAGUAAGAAAUUGGCAAACCUCUGCAUUGUUUGAUUUUGAUUCACGUGUGGAAUAAUGUAAGUUUUAUACGUUUGCCUAUUCAAUCCAUCUUAUCGGUAGC